rnacentral:lncRNA from 1 species
AGUUACCUGCCGGUAAUGAUGAAGCGUACAGUGUGAUUACCUCAGUACCUGCUGCUGACUGUCCUACUGGUUUGGAUAAAUCGAAAAUGCAAGAGUUUCAAAAUGAAGACUCUGACAUAUACCAUGUGUACUCCACCAUGUCUGAGGAGCCACCUCCAUCAGCCCUGAAGGACAUGGUGUACAGCACCCUGCAGGCACAUUGAAACAAAAACGUGUUAAUACUGUAUAGAGAAACAGAACGCAGACAGCCU